CAUGGAGGUACAUAUAUAAGCACUCGAGCCAGAGUCUAAUACCCAACUAGAAGUAGAAGAAACCAUAAGGUUAGAUUCAAUUACGAGCAUACCUUUGAAAAGUUUAUCAUCCUUUUUGGUCUUUAAGCUCUCCAGAUAUUUUGGACAAUUCUUCCUCUAGUGGCCUUCAGCAUGAUAGUAAAAAUAUUUUUCUUUUGCUUCGACCUUAUUAGGAACUUCCUUCUUUGGCCUGC
rnacentral:lncRNA from 1 species